rnacentral:tRNA from 1 species
CGCGGCAUAACGCAGCCCGGUAGCUCGUCAGGCUCAUAACCUGAAGGCCGCAGGUUCAAAUCCUGCCCCCGCAACCA